ACUAAACUCAAUCACAACAACCGUAACCACCGCGGUUCAAUGGGACUGGAA
rnacentral:sRNA from 1 species